GACGAACGCUGGCGGCGUGCUUAACACAUGCAAGUCGAACGGAAAGGCCCUGCUUGCAGGGUACUCGAGUGGCGAACGGGUGAGUAACACGUGGGUGAUCUGCCCUUCACUUCGGGAUAAGCCUGGUAAACUGGGUCUAAUACCGGAUAGGUGCCAUUUUUAGUGUGAUGGUUGGAAAGUUUUUUCGGUGUAGGAUGAGCUCGCGGCCUAUCAGCUUGUUGGUGGGGUAAUGGCCUACCAAGGCGGCGGCGGGUAGCCGGCCUGGGAGGGUGGAAGGCCACAUUGGGAAUGAGAUACGGCCCAGACACCUACGGGAGGCAGAAGUGGGGAAUAUUGAACAAUGGGCGCAAGCCUGAUGCAGAGACGCCGCGUGGGGGAUGACGGCCUUCGGGUUGUAAAAUAAUUGCGCAAGGGACGAAGCUUUUUGUGACGGUAACUAGAGAAGAAGCACCGGCUAACUACGUG
rnacentral:rRNA from 1 species